CACGUAGGGGACGAGCGUUGUCCGGAAUGAUUGGGCGUAAAGCGUCCGCAGGUGGCUGUGUAAGUCUGCUGUUAAAGAGUCUAGCUCAACUAGAUACAAGCAGUGGAAACUACACGGCUAGAGUACGUUCGGGGCAGAGGGAAUUCCUGGUGUAGCGGUGAAAUGCGUAGAGAUCGAGGAAGACACCGGUGGCGAAGGCGCUCUGCUAGGCCGUAACUGACACUGAGGGACGAAAGCUAGGGGGAGCGAAUGGG
rnacentral:rRNA from 1 species